rnacentral:rRNA from 1 species
GGCCUGCAUGAGCUAACUUACUUCAGUACUUAGCUGAAGUGAGCCGGGUAGCCCCAGUUUAAAUCUGGCCCUCGGGCCCGAAUUGUAAUUUGUAAAGGAUGCUUUUGGUGCGGUGCCUUCCCCGUUCCCUGGAACGGGACGCCUUAGAGGGUGAGAGCCCCGUACGGUUGGACGCCUAGCCUCUGUAAAGCUCCUUCGACGAGUCGAGUAGUUUGGGAAUGCUGCUCAAAAUGGGAGGUAAAUUUCUUCUAAAGCUAAAUACCGGCCAGAGACCGAUAGCGCACAAGUAGAGUGAUCGAAAGAUGAAAAGCACUUUGAAAAGAGGGUUAAAUAGCACGUGAAAUUGUUGAAAGGGAAGCGUUUAUGACCAGACUUUCUCCUGGCGGAUCAUCCGGUGUUCUCACCGGUGCACUUCGCCUGGUUUAGGCCAGCAUCGGUUUUCUUAGGGGGAUAAAAACGGUGGUAAUGUGGCUCCCUCGGGAGUGUUAUAGACUGCCGUAUAAUACCCCUAGGAGGACCGAGGUUCGCGCUCUGCAAGGAUGCUGGCGUAAUGGUCAUCAACGACCCGUCUUGAAACACGGACCAAGGAGUCGAACAUUUGUGCGAGUGUUUGGGUGUUAAACCCCUACGCGUAAUGAAAGUGAACGGAGGUGAGAGCCUUUUAGGUGCAUCAUCGACCGAUCCUGAAGUUUUCGGAUGGAUUUGAGUAAGAGCAUAACUGUUCGGACCCGAAAGAUGGUGAACUAUGCGUGGAUAGGGUGAAGCCAGAGGAAACUCUGGUGGAGGCUCGCAGCGGUUCUGACGUGCAAAUCGAUCGUCAAAUCUGCGCAUGGGGGGCGAAAGACUAAAUCGAACCAUUA